AGAACCCUCUAGAGCCAAAUUCAUUGUGAAGUAUUUUUUUCUAGAAAGUGCUUACUUACCAAAACAAGUAUAAACUCAACUUCCUCAAAAGUAAAGGAUUAGAAAUAGUUACAACCGUAUUAAAAACCAAGUCCCUUCUCUUCUCAUUACAUAUUUGCUAUUAAGCUUUAAAAAUAUUGUAUCAUAUUCUUCUUUAAGCCCAAUUUUCAAGAAAUGAAUGAUCCUAAGUAUGCUUAUCCCUACCCUGCUCAAGGGUAUUAUCAAGGUCCCCCAGUGAUGGCACCACCUCAAUAUGCUGCUCCACCACCCAGAAGACAGAGUGCUGGAUUCCUUGAGGGAUGUCUUGCAGCUCUAUGUUGUUGCUGCCUCGUAGAUGAAUGUUGCUGUGACCCUUCAAUCUUAUGUAUUUGGUGAUAAUAUGAAAGAUCUUGUAGCUACAAAAAUACUAUAAAUAAAGUUCAAGAAAGCUUUAAUUAUAUAGUAGUUUUACAAUGUUUAAAGUUUUUAAUUAUGCUAUGAUCAAUAUCUUGUUUUCAUUUUCCAACUUGGUUGUAAUUGUUGUUUUUCUUUUAGGCAUUGUAUUGCGGAUUCUCUCUUGAUUUGAUUAUGUAAUGUAAUACUGUGUGGAAAACAAACAAUUGGAGUAAACAGUCACUUUGGUCCC